UGCGUAGGUGGCGUCGUAAGUCGGGUGUGAAAUCUCGGGGCUUAACUCCGAAACUGCAUUCGAUACUGCGGUGCUUGAGGACUGGAGAGGAGACUGGAAUUUACGGUGUAGCAGUGAAAUGCGUAGAGAUCGUAAGGAAGACCAGUGGCGAAGGCGGGUCUCUGGAAAGUUCCUGACACUGAGGCACGAAGGCCAGGGGAGCAAACG
rnacentral:rRNA from 1 species